rnacentral:rRNA from 1 species
CCUACGGGUGGCAGCAGUGAGGAAUAUUGGUCAAUGGGCGCGAGCCUGAACCAGCCAAGUAGCGUGAAGGAUGACUGCCCUACGGGUUGUAAACUUCUUUUAUAAAGGAAUAAAGUGAGGCACGUGUGCCUUUUUGUAUGUACUUUAUGAAUAAGCAUCGGCUAACUCCGUGCCCGCAGCCGCGGUAAUACGGAGGAUGCGAGCGUUAUCCGGAUUUUUUGGGGUUAAAGGGUGCGUAGGUUGUUUUUUAAGUCAGUGGGGAAAGUUUGUGGCUCAACCAUAAAAUUGCCGUUGAAACUGGAAGACUUGAGUGUGUUUGAGGUAGGCGGAAUGCGUGGUGUAGCGGUGAAAUGCAUAGAUAUCACGCAGAACUCCGAUUGCGAAGGCAGCUUACUAAACUGUGACUGACAUUGAUGCUCGAAAGUGUGGGUAUCGAACAGGAUUAGAUACCCUUGUAGUC